GUCCGAUAGAAAGCGUGCUUCCUGCCGAGGUUCCCAUAUCGGGCAGCGUGUCGGCAGGGUCGGCAAAUGCGGGCGCGACCUGACCGAGAGCCAAUGCUGCAAUGAGGGUUGCCACCAGGUUUUUUUUAUCACAUCCUGGGGCUGAAGUAGGUCCCAAGGGUAUGGCUGUUCGCCAUUUAAAGUGGUACGCGAGCUGGGUUUAGAACGUCGUGAGACAGUUCGGUCCCUAUCUGCCGUGGGCGCUGGAGAACUGA
rnacentral:rRNA from 1 species